UGUUGUCUUCGGGGCAAGGUGUAAAUCCUUGACCGGCGGUUAAAGCCCGCGAGUCUGAUCAGACUGAGCCUGUGGAAUUCAGGGGCCGACGGUGAAAGUCCGGAUGGGAGAAGAUGGAU
rnacentral:ncRNA from 2 species